GAGGGUACAGCUCAGCAGGGGAGCAUGUGGUUAGCAUGCAGGAGGUCCUAGGUUCAAUCCCUAGUACCUCCA
rnacentral:tRNA from 1 species